CUACGGGCUGCUGCAGUGGGGAAUAUUGGGCAAUGGGCGCAAGCCUGACCCAGCAACGCCGCGUGAGGGAAGAAGGUUUUCGGAUUGUAAACCUCUGUCCUUGGGGACGAAGAAGUGACGGUACCCAAGGAGGAAGCUCCGGCUAACUACGUGCCAGCAGCCGCGGUAAUACGUAGGGAGCAAGCGUUGUCCGGAAUUACUGGGCGUAAAGGGCGCGUAGGCGGCAUAUUAAGUCAGGUGUGAAAUACUCGGGCUCAACCCGGGGGCUGCAUUUGAAACUGAUAUGCUUGAGUGUGAGAGAGGAAAGUGGAAUUCCUAGUGUAGCGGUGGAAUGCGUAGAUAUUAGGAGGAACACCAGUGGCGAAGGCGACUUUCUGGCUCAUAACUGACGCUGAGGCACGAAAGCGUGGGGAGCAAACAGGAUUAGAUACCCCGGUAGUC
rnacentral:rRNA from 1 species